GUUUUUUCUUCCUUUUUUUUUUUUUUUUUUUUUCCCCUCUCCCUUAACAGCGUUCGAUCUCUGCUGCCGUUUUUAAGAGGCUUUUUAAAAUUCUUGGAAAAGUCUAGGAGUGCCUCAGGAAUUUUACCCUCACUUCUUUAAUUCCUGUAUCAUCAUCAUUCAGCACACGGACUGGAAUGAAAGCUUUUACAGGAUUUCUGUCUUGAGCUGGACUGAAACAAAAAGCAAAGUUAUCUGUGCAGACUGGUAGAAAUGUCUCUUCUGCUGGCUUUGUGGCGACGUGGACUUGUUUCUGAUGCCAAGCCUGACGGCUGUACCGGCAAACACAUGUAUUUACCCAGGCUCACACAAGCUGGUGGUAACUGGUGAAUGUGGGACUUCAGUGAGGAACCAUGUGACAGACAAAUCAAAACCCAAAUUUAGCCAAACAUGGUGAAGGAACAGUCAAACUCGAAGGGCAGAGGGAAUGUGUGUCAGUCCAGUGGCCAAAUAACUGGAAGAACUAGAGGAACUUCAGCAAACUACAAUUACUCUUCUCUCAAGAAGAAUUAGUUAUCCCGUGACCCAGCCAGCCAAGUCUUU